GAUCCUGGCUUAGGACGAACGCUGGCGGCGUGCCUAACACAUGCAAGUCGAGCGGUGAAGCCCUCGGGGUGAAUUAGCGGCGGACGGGUGAGUAACACGUGGGUAACCUGCCUUAUAGAGGGGGAUAGCCUUCCGAAAGGAAGAUUAAUACCGCAUGAAAUGUUUUUAUCGCAUGGUAGAAACAUCAAAGGAGUAAUCCGCUAUAAGAUGGACCCGCGGCGCAUUAGCUAGUUGGUGAGGUAACGGCCCACCAAGGCGACGAUGCGUAGCCGACCUGAGAGGGUGAUCGGCCACAUUGGAACUGAGACACGGUCCAGACUCCUACGGGAGGCAGCAGUGGGGAAUAUUGCGCAAUGGGGGAAACCCUGAACGCAGCAACGCCGCGUGAAUGAAGAAGGCCUUAGGGUUGUAAAGUUCUGUUUUCUGGGACGAUAAUGACGGUACCAGAGGAGGAAGCCACGGCUAACUACGUGCCAGCCGCUGC
rnacentral:rRNA from 1 species